rnacentral:rRNA from 2 species
UACGUAGGGGGCGAGCGUUAUCCGGAAUUAUUGGGCGUAAAGCGCGCGCAGGCGGCUGAUUAAGUCAGGUGUGAAAGGCUGCGGCUCAACCGCAGAGCGGCACCUGAAACUGGUCAGCUUGAGUGCAGGAGAGGGGAGCGGAAUUCCCGGUGUAGCGGUGGAAUGCGUAGAGAUCGGGAGGAACACCAGUGGCGAAGGCGGCUCUCUGGCCUGUAACUGACGCUGAGGCGCGAAAGCGUGGGGAGCAAAC